rnacentral:rRNA from 1 species
UACAGAGGUCUCAAGCGUUGUUCGGAUUCAUUGGGCGUAAAGGGUGCGUAGGUGGCAUGGUAAGUCGGAUGUGAAAUCCCGGGGCUCAACCCCGGAACUGCAUUCGAUACUGCUGCGCUAGAGUACUGGAGAGGAGAUUGGAAUUCACGGUGUAGCAGUGAAAUGCGUAGAUAUCGUGAGGAAGACCAGUGGCGAAGGCGGGUCUCUGGACAGUUCCUGACGCUGAGGCGCGAAGGCCAGGGGAGCAAACGGG